rfam:Gossypium raimondii chromosome 6, whole genome shotgun sequence.
GGGUGCGAUCAUACCAGCACUAAUGCACCGGAUCCCAUCAGAACUCCGCAGUUAAGCGUGCUUGGGCGAGAGCAGUACUAGGAUGGGUGACCUCUUGGGAAGUCCUCGUGUUGCACCCC